GACGUAGGGGGCUAGCGUUGCUCGGAAUUACUGGGCGUAAAGGGCGCGUAGGUGGAUAUCUAAGUUGGGGGUGAAAUCCCGGGGCUCAACCUCGGAAUUGCCUUCAAAACUGGGUAUCUUGAGUUCGGGAGAGGUGAGUGGAACUCCGAGUGUAGAGGUGAAAUUCGUAGAUAUUCGGAAGAACACCAGUGGCGAAGGCGACUCACUGGCCCGAUACUGACGCUGAGGCGCGAAAGCGUGGGGAGCAAACAGG
rnacentral:rRNA from 1 species